UAGGGAAUCUUCCGCAAUGGGCGAAAGCCUGACGGAGCAACGCCGCGUGAGUGAUGAAGGUCUUCGGAUCGUAAAACUCUGUUAUUAGGGAAGAACAAAUGUGUAAGUAACUAUGCACGUCUUGACGGUACCUAAUCAGAAAGCCACGGCUAACUACGUGCCAGCAGCCGCGGUAAUACGUAGGUGGCAAGCGUUAUCCGGAAUUAUUGGGCGUAAAGCGCGCGUAGGCGGUUUUUUAAGUCUGAUGUGAAAGCCCACGGCUCAACCGUGGAGGGUCAUUGGAAACUGGUAAACUUGAGUGCAGAAGAGGAAAGUGGAAUUCCAUGUGUAGCGGUGAAAUGCGCAGAGAUCUGGAGGAACACCAGUGGCGAAGGCGACUUUCUGGUCUGUAACUGACGCUGAUGUGCGAAAGCGUGGGGAUCAAACAGG
rnacentral:rRNA from 1 species